rnacentral:rRNA from 1 species
AAGCUCGUGUUGUGAAAUGUUGGGUUAAGUCCCGCAACGAGCGCAACCCUUAUCCUUUGUUGCCAGCGAUUCGGUCGGGAACUCAAAGGAGACUGCCGGUGAUAAACCGGAGGAAGGUGGGGAUGACGUCAAGUCAUCAUGGCCCUUACGAGUAGGGCUACACACGUGCUACAAUGGCGCAUACAAAGAGAAGCGACCUCGCGAGAGCAAGCGGACCUCACAAAGUGCGUCGUAGUCCGGAUCGGAGUCUGCAACUCGACUCCGUGAAGUCGGAAUCGCUAGUAAUCGUGGAUCAGAAUGCCACGGUGAAUACGUUCCCGGGCCUUGUACACACCGCCCGUCACACCAUGGGAGUGGGUUGCAAAAGAAGUANGUNUAGCUUA